rnacentral:rRNA from 1 species
UUGUGAGGUUAAGCGACUAAGCGUACACGGUGGAUGCCCUGGCAGUCAGAGGCGAUGAAGGGCGUACUAAUCUGCGAUAAGCGCCGGUAAGGUGAUAUGAACCGUUAUAACCGGCGAUACCCGAAUGGGGAAACCCAGUGUGAUUCGUCACACUAUCAUUAACUGAAUCCAUAGGUUAAUGAGGCGAACCGGGGGAACUGAAACAUCUAAGUACCCCGAGGAAAAGAAAUCAACCGAGAUUCCCCCAGUAGCGGCGAGCGAACGGGGAGGAGCCCAGAGCCUGAAUCAGCAUGUGUGUUAGUGGAAGCGUCUGGAAAGGCGCGCGAUACAGGGUGACAGCCCCGUACACAAAAGCGCAUGUGCUGUGAGCUCGAUGAGUAGGGCGGGACACGUGGUAUCCUGUCUGAAUAUGGGGGGACCAUCCUCCAAGGCUAAAUACUCCUGACUGACCGAUAGUGAACCAGUACCGUGAGGGAAAGGCGAAAAGAACCCCGGCGAGGGGAGUGAAAAAGAACCUGAAACCGUGUACGUACAAGCAGUGGGAGCACAGGUUUACCUGUGUGACUGCGUACCUUUUGUAUAAUGGGUCAGCGACUUAUAUUCUGUAGCAAGGUUAACCGAAUAGGGGAGC